GUCUACAGCCACACCACCCUGAACGCACCAGAUCUCAUCUGAUCUCGGAAGCUAAGCAGGGCCCGGCCCGGUUAGUACUUGGAUGGGAGACCAAAGCGGGAAGCUAGACC
rnacentral:rRNA from 1 species